rnacentral:rRNA from 1 species
UACGGAGGGGGCUAGCGUUGUUCGGAAUUACUGGGCGUAAAGCGCACGUAGGCGGCUUUGUAAGUUAGAGGUGAAAGCCCGGGGCUCAACUCCGGAAUUGCCUUUAAGACUGCAUCGCUCGAAUUGUGGAGAGGUAAGUGGAAUUCCGAGUGUAGAGGUGAAAUUCGUAGAUAUUCGGAAGAACAUCCAGUGGCGAAGGCGACUUACUGGACACA